GAAAUGCGAUAACUAAUGUGAAUUGCAGAAUUCAGUGAAUCAUCGAGUCUUUGAACGCACAUUGCGCCCCCUGGUAUUCCGGGGGGCAUGCCUGUCCGAGCGUCAUUGCUGCCCUCAAGCCCGGCUUGUGUGUUGGGUCGCCGUCCCCCUCUCCGGGGGGACGGGCCCGAAAGGCAGCGGCGGCACCGCGUCCGAUCCUCGAGCGUAUGGGGCUUUGUCACAUGCUCUGUAGGAUUGGCCGGCGCCUGCCGACGUUUUCCAACCAUUCUUUCCAGGUUGACCUCGGAGCAGGUAGGGAUACCGGCUGAACUUAAGC
rnacentral:misc_RNA from 1 species